UUUAAUUGUACUGAAAACCCGGUAACGAACGGAUGUUCUGUUUUGAGCUUUGUACCAAACAAAUUGUUAUUUGAACCUGAUUGUCACAGACAUGAUGUUUGCUACUCGUGUGGACUGGAAGUAAGGUUCACUCAACAAGUAUGUGACAACAUAUUCCACGAAGACCUAUACGAGACUUGCGAGACGGACGCAAGAGCCGGGGUUUUCUGUAAAUUUUGGGCAAAUAUAUAUAACAUUGGUGUUAAUUCAUUCGGAAUAUUCUAUUACCAUGAUGUCCCGGCUGCAUGGUGUAGCAAUAAACAUUAUGGGUACGAGGCUUGCUUAGCUCUGGACUAACUUGUAGAAUGACGCAGCAGCAAAGAGAAACACUGAAUCCGAUCAUGUGACAUUGUGCAAUAAAGUAUAGCUUUAAUAAAUAUUAAGUUUU